AAGCGCAUAUUAGAAUUCGGAUCCUAUGGAAUUCGACCGACAGACCAAAGAUUAUUGGAUGAUUUAUAAAGCCUGAAAUAUUAGACAAGAUUAAUGUAUCACCUUUGUACAAAAAAAAAUUACCGGAAUUUAAAAAUAACCUUCACAGUGGAUUGAAAGAAAUGUUUAUAAUCCCUACAUAUUCCAGAAAAGUGGCUUCUAAGCGAGUCCGAAUUACGUUGAUUUCCCAUAGCCUGAGAUAGGAGGAAAAGCAUAGCCACUACUUAAGCUGUUUUCUUUCAGUUUUUAAUUAAUAAUGGCAAGAAUUUUGGAUAUAGUAUCAUAUAAAAUAAAUUACUUUACUUAUACCUGAAAGUAUUCUGACGGAAUUUUUCGUGUUUACUUAUCAUGGAACGUCUCAUGAAUCGAAAAAGUGGCAGAAGCUCCCGCAAUUGAUAUUAGUGCAACGCAUUCUGUGAAGAAAAUAUUAGAGGCCAUUUAAUUGAACUGCUACUUAAUACCAUCCCUCAUUUGUGCAGUGAAUACCAUUUCGGUUCCAGCAGCAAAUUAUAUAUAUAAUAUAUAAAUAUGGGAGAUAUCUGGAUUGGCGGAAAAAAAUGGUACUGAAGUGAUAUCGGUAUUCGUAGAUCAGACAACUUAAGACUAUUAGGGAUGCAAUUUUUCUUGGAUAAAAGUGUGCCGUCACCAUCAGUAAUACGGUUUUCUCGUUUCUAUAUACAAACCAUCAAUACUCACAAAUUUCCUUAAGAUAAUUUGAAGUACCAAAUGUUCAUGAUGUAGACAUGUUUUAACCCAAGUGAUCACGUCACAAGAUACUAUUUGGAGCUUUCAACCUUGCAAUUCAGAGCCUUUUCCAUGGAAUAACGGAAAUCCAAUUUAUGCAAUUGAGUUUGUAAAAUUCCUUUUGGCUUCGCCUAAAUUUAUUGGUUCUAAAAAAAAUAAUGAAUGCAUAAAUGGUGUGCGCAGUGGAAAUGUGAUCAUGUAUGUAGUCAACAUUGCUUAAGGAUAUUAGUAUAUCUUUGAAAUGUUUUAUUCUAUUCUAAGAGCAACAUAAUGAAUAUUUAUAUAAUUUUUUUCGAACUUUGAAAAGCUUGUGCAAAAUAUCUGAUCCAAAACAAGUGUUUGACAAGUCAAUUUCAUCUUAAAAUUGCCUGGAAACUUUUAUUGUUAUACCAACUUUAAAAUGAUGGUCUGUAUUC